rnacentral:snRNA from 1 species
GUUCAUUCUUGAACAUAUACAAAACUUGGAACAAUACAGAGAAGAUUCGCAUGGUCCCUGAACAAGGAUGACACGCAAAUUCGUAAAGCUUUCCAAAAAAAA